UAGACAUUGCUAAUAGACAGGGCAAUUAGCCUCUAUACUGAUAUAAAGAAUGCAUUAGAGCAAAUUAAAUCUUAAUUUGGGAGGUGAUUUUCUGUCUUAUUUUCCUACACAUUAAGGUUUUUUUUGGACACACAACCUAUUCAUUUCUAACAAGAGCUCACCUUGUUCCUGCAUGUUAUGUGUUUUAUUAUGAUCCCUGCUUUACAUGUGAUUGUUUCCACUCUUUCUAUAAAAAAGCCUCACACUCCUGUAUCAGAUCGAGUAUUAUGUAACACCACAACCACACAGAGAGAGAGAGUGUGUUUGGGAAGCAGCUCAUUAAACGAGCCACUUCAACAACAUACUAACUACCUUGCUGGAAAUGGAAACGCUGUCUCCACAACCAUGAAAGAGAGAGGAGCAGUCUCACCAAAGGAGGUGGGGAAAGACAGAGAGGCGCACAAAGAGUCUGUGAAGCAACAGUCACUCCCAGGCAGGACCGUCAGAGGGAAAACAGCCUUGGAGGCAGACAAACUAAUGUGAGGAGCACAGCAGAUAACUACUCUACAUGUGUCACUACCAAAAAAAAAAAAAAACAACAACAAAAAGAAGAGAGGAACCCUAAAGACCGAACUAAAGAAAGAGCAGAAGAGAUAAAAAGGCUAAAAGGAAGGAAAACUUCAAAAAGGACAACAGAGGAGCACUGACUGGGAUUUGUUUUUGUGUGUAGUCUCACUUUACUUUAACUCCAAGUGCAGACUAUCAUCUGUACCUGAGGCAUUAUCCCUCCUAACCCUAAUCUCAGCCUGACUGCUAAUCUUGGGCAGCAUCUGAGCACCUUUCCUCCUCUGGAUGAUUUACAGCAGUCAGACAUUCAGCAGUUAGUCUGGGUUGGCUUGGCUGAGUGUUUGAAAACAACAAAGACUCUCAUAGUGUAAAUACAUCCACCCUGUUUCUGCAUCGUCACGAGGAUGGAUGCCAAAGAAGAGACGCUGAACCUCCUGAACAGGAUUUGGGUAAAGUUGCAGGGUCUGCCCAGAGCCAACGCUAUAGAGGUGGGAGCUUUCUCCAUCCUGCUGACCUUCAUCUUGGUGGUCCUGUUCAUGAUAGUGCUGACCUGCGUGACCUGCUGCUGCUGUCGCAAGACCAAGAUGAAGGGACCAAACAUCUGAGCAAAUGUGCUCCACACAAGGAGAAUUUCAUUUCAUUAUCAUCAGACAUCUAAGCACAGGAGAUGGUGCACACACAAAAAAAUCCCACAAAUGCAGGCUUUCGCUGCAGCACCAUGAAUCCUGUAGAGUCAAUGAAAAAUCCUACUGAGAGUCAUGGUCAUGUAAUUCAUAGGUAAAUAUUAAAGGUCUAUCUCAGUGGAGCCUCAUACCGGGUGUGUUCAGGAGCGCUGAAGAGGCCCAACCCUUGAACAACAAAGCACCUGACAAACACAGAGAAGGAUGUUCUGACUGGCUGCCAGACACACCUGCCAAAGCUGCCAGAUUUUCAGGAGAAUCCACAUUCCUUGGAGCAUCCCUGUGCUCUACAGGGCAACAAAAAUGCCUCUGAUCUGAGGAAAAGGCAGAGCCAACCCCAAUUGCAACUUUAACAGUGCAGACAAAAUAUGAUGUGGGGAAUCGUUUAAAGAAACUGAAGAAGACCAACAGCGGGUUACAAAGUUAGACGUGAAGGGAAAAUGCCAAAUUUGUUUUUUUAAUGUUUUUUCUUAGGCUGACCAUGUGUCAUUCCUAAGGUAUUAGAAUUGGCAGUCAGACAUGGAAUUAGGUAAGAUCCGCCUAAGAGGGGGAGCUGUAAGUGUUCCUCAGCAUAUUCUGUACAACAUGGCAUAAAGACAGAGCAAGUCUGCCCUCCACUGUACACAAACUGAAAUAGCAUGUACGUGAUCAGAGUUGUGUAAUGUAUAAACCUGCAUGUUGUAUUUGUGCAAAGGGCAAAGCCAUUAUGUAAUGAUGUCAUGUUUUGACGUUUCACUUAUUGGCCUACUUGCUUUUAUUUGUAAGCAAUAAACAAAAAGUGACUUGCA